UACGUAGGGUGCAAGCGUUUAAUCGGAAUUACUGGGCGUAAAGCGUGCGCAGGCGGUUUUGUAGGUCAGAUGUGAAAUCCCCGGGCUUAACCUGGGAACUGCGUUUGAAACUACAAGGCUAGAGUGUGGCAGAGGGGGGUGGAAUUCCACGUGUAGCAGGUGAAAUGCGUAGAGAUGUGGAGGAACACCGAUGGCGAAGGCAGCCCCCUGGGUUAACACUGACGCUCAGGCACGAAAGCGUGGGGAGCAAACAGG
rnacentral:rRNA from 1 species